AGUGAACGCUGGCGGUAGGCCUAACACAUGCAAGUCGAACGGCAGCACAGUAAGAGCUUGCUCUUACGGGUGGCGAGUGGCGGACGGGUGAGGAAUACAUCGGAAUCUACUUUUUCGUGGGGGAUAACGUAGGGAAACUUACGCUAAUACCGCAUACGACCUACGGGUGAAAGCAGGGGAUCUUCGGACCUUGCGCGAUUGAAGGAGCCGAUGUCGGAUUAGCUAGUUGGCGGGGUAAAGGCCCACCAAGGCGACGAUCCGUAGCGGGUCUGAGAGGAUGAUCAGCCACCCUGGAACUGAGACACGGUCCAGACUCCUACGGGAGGCAGCAGUGGGGAAUAUUGGACAAUGGGCGCAAGCCUGAUCCAGCCAUACCGCGUGGGUGAAGAAGGCCUUCGGGUUGUAAAGCCCUUUUGUUGGGAAAGAAAAGCAGCAGGUUAAUACCCCGCUGUUCUGACGGUACCCAAAGAAUAAGCACCGGCUAACUUCGUG
rnacentral:rRNA from 1 species